rnacentral:rRNA from 1 species
UACGUAGGGUGCGAGCGUUGUCCGGAAUUAUUGGGCGUAAAGAGCUCGUAGGCGGUGUGUCGCGUCGGCCGUGAAAACCUGGGGCUCAACUCUGGGCGUGCGGGUCGAUACGGGGCAUCACUUGAGUUCGGCAGGGGGAGACUGGAAUUCCUGGUGUAGCGGUGAAAUGCGCAGAUAUCAGGAGGGAACACCCGGUGGCGAAG